UUCUCUCAAAAUUCAUCAAGAACAAGAAGAGGGUUUGCAAUUGGGGAUUUAAUUUCAAGAAAUUCUCUCCGUCGAUCUUCGUAAAAUGAAGAACUAAGGUAUGCUUAGUGUUCAUCCACGGAUUCCUUUCAUCCGUAGGAGUCCAAGAACCAUGCUUUAAAUACUAUAUUGUGAUUGUCUUGUUGAGAUAUGAUCAUGUACAUGUUGAUGGUUGUUGUUUAUGCUUUAAGAUAUUAAUUUAGGGUGAUUCUUAUGAAUUAUGUGUGCUUGUAGUUAAAACCCAUGAAAUUGGGUGGUUUUAGAUGACUAAAUUAUUAAGAACACCUAUGCCAUAAAGUGUGCAUGCAAGAUGUUUGAUGAAAUGCCUAGAAUAGGCAUAAUCAUGUUUUCAUGAUUUAAGAGUGCUCAAUUAACAAGUCCUUACUCCAUGUUUUAUGAUUUCACGUGACUUCCAUGUUGUGUGAAUAAAGUUUGAAUCUUUACAUGUUGUUCAUGAUACCAUGAUAUUUUGUGGAUUCAAUUGGUGGAAUUAAGUUGAAUUAUGGUGUUAUGGUGUAUAAAAUUGAUCAUUAGGCCUAUUUCCUAAACAGUGCAUGCAAGGUGUUUGUUAAAAUGCCUAAGUAAAGAAGAAUUAAGCACUUUGAUCUAUUUGUGAUCUGAGUGAUGAUUCCAUGCCAUAUCCAUGUGCUUAAGUUGACUCCCAUGCUAAAUCUAUGCCUACCAUGUGUUUGAUAAUGUGACUUAACGAAUAAAUGAUGAUCAAGUACCUAGUCUUCAUGCUCCAAGAUUUUGCCAUGUCUCUUAAGUUAUGCCAUGUCUACUUGAUCAAGAUGAUUUCUAUGCUAUUAAUGUGCUAUGAUUAUGUUGUUGGCUUGUCACGAUAUUAGAAUUGACCAUGAUGUUAGCUAUAUGAAAAGGUUAUGAAAACCACAUGAUUUAUGAAUUUCCCGUAGAUGCUAUAUUAUGGAUUGUUAAUGUUGGUCAAGUACUUUUGUAUGUCAAGUCAUGUCAGUUUCCUUCCAUCGAGUCCUGGGGGUAUUCGUACCCGAAAAAUAUAGCUGUAUGCCUAGAGCCAUGUCAUGUUUUCACGAUCCACUCAGUCAAGCCAUGUUCAGUAGACUUUAGUCAGCUAACAGAACUCAGUAGCAUUUAGUUAACAGAAUUCAGUAGUGUUUCUCUAGUCAUCGAAACUCAAUAAACUCAGUCCAUGUUCAGUUCAGUUAAACAGAAAAAUUAGUAACAGUUCAGUUAAUUCUAGUAUGAACUAGAAAGUCAGUUCAGUAUAACAGUUCAGUGUCAUUCAGUUAGGAGUAGGAUUCAGCACCGAGUGAACCCAAGGAUGGGAACUCACCUGCCAGUAGAGGGUGUGAUUCUUGGAAGCAGUCCUUGCAUUCCAGAAUUAUGUAGCCAGCAUAGGUUGAGACAUCAAUACCUAUCAUUUGAGGGUAGAUGAGGUGGCUUAACCUGUCAGAUGAGGGUUCCCACCAUUCUCAUUAGAGUACCUGCCAGAUAAGGGUCACUCAUAGCUUGUCCUUACCAGUGGCGCUGUAUUGGUACCCUUCCAAUCAGGGCAGAGAUUGGACCCCAGCUUAGCUAUUAUAGCGUAUUGGGGCAUGUCGGUUAGAUAACUACUUCCCACAAUUUUAGUAUCAGUCUCAGUAAAAAAACUCAAAUAGUUCUUCAGGAUAUUAGGACUGUCAGAUACAGUCAACUCAGAUACAAUACGGAACUCAGCUAGUUCUAUCAGAUUUAGGACUGUCAGAUACAGUCAUUCAUGCUAUCAGUUAUCCAAACUCAUGUUAUCAGAUAUAUCGGUUAUAAGAAUUCAGUUAUCAUUCAUGAUAUGUUAUCAGUAAAUAUGUGUCUUCAGUAUUCAUACUCAGUAGUCAUAUUAUCACAAGCUCAGUUUCAGGACUGUUAUAUACGGUCAAUCAAAUUAGUUCUUCAUAAUUAGAACUAUCAGAAACAGUUAUUCCUUUAUCAGUAAUACAGUAUCGGUCUCCCAGUAUUCAGUAAUACAGUAUCAGUUCCUCACUUAUUAGUGAAUUACGUAUAAAUAUCAGUAAACUCAGUCAUUUAGUAUCUCAAUAUUAGUAAACUCAGUCAUUCAGUAUCUCAGCAUCAGUAAACUCAUGAUGUCAGUAUUCAUACUCAGUAGUCAGUAUCACCACGAGUUUAGUUGCAGUUACGUAUGUAUGUAUUCUCACAUCUAUAUCAGUCAGCAUUGUUCAUGCAUAUAAAACCCUUUGCAUUUAGCCUACCUCACUCGUAUACUCAGUACAUUUAGUCGUACUGAUGCAUUUGUGCUAUGGUGUUUUAUUUGACGCCAUAGGUAUAGAGGCGCGAGUUUCAAAGCAGUAGUGGCAUUGCAGAUUUUAGCAGUCAGUGCUCCUCUUCAUUCGAGGACAAUAUUAUUAUUACUUUAUUACAGUAUUUCAGAUUAGUUUUUUAGUUCAUGGAGUUAGUUGGAGACAUGUUCCUUCAACUCCUUAUUCAGUUCAGUUAGAG
rnacentral:lncRNA from 1 species